rnacentral:rRNA from 1 species
AUGAAUAUUGCCCUUCUAUCCCGGUGGCUGUGGCACAUCGCGCAGGGUCAUGGUGGCCUCUGGCUGGACAUUAUCCGGAAUAAAUACCUGCGAGGUCACCCCCUAGCCUUUUGCCAGAAAUCAGGCGGAUCUCAGUUCUGGCAGUCUCUCGUCCAGCUUCUCCCAGUACUCCGCAUUGGUACCUCCAUCUCGGUGGGGUCCGGCCUCUCGACGCUAUUCUGGUUUGAUCGCUGGGCCGACGACUCCCCAUUUGCGGCCCGCUUCCCCGCCCUCUUCUCUAUCUUCGUCGACCCUAUGAUCUCUGUUGAUAGGGCCCUUCUUGACUUAGGGCGCCUUGCUUUCCGUCGGCCCUUUGGGCCGGCAGAAUCCGCCGCCUGGCGUGAGUUGCUCGACUGCGUUGCUCUGCAUGAGCCGUUGGUGGAUGGGGGUCAGGACCUUGUGCGCUAGCGCUUGGAACCAUCGGGCCAGUUCUCAACCAAGUCGCUAUACUUGGCCAUUGCCCCCUCCUCCGCCCCCCUUUCCCUAUUGAUGGUGUGGUCCGUCCGCGUCCCCCUGAAGAUUCGCAUCUUCAUGUGGUAG